AAAAAAAAACAUGAAAAAGCUUGAGCACACGAAGAUGAACUCUCAACUUACCCCGCCCGUUCGUCGUAAACAAAAGAGAUGAGGUAGCCAUCGUCUUCAUCCGCGUCCUUGUCGGAGCUCUUUGGAACAAACACCACCUCGGAGCCAAACCGGCGACUUCCAUACAUGAACUCCCCGACCACAUUGCUCCCAACGGGAUUACCACCAUCCUUGGAGAGCUCGGGAUCCUUGUGGAGAUCAAACUUCGCCACUCCUUUGAUCCUCACUUGAUCGUGGAAAACGGCAGCAUACACGUAACGUUGCUUCCUGUGAAAGUACGAGAUUUAUGGAUGCAAACUCUCAAGAGAGCCUAUAACCUUCCUAUGUAGUUUUCGUUGAUGCGAGGAAACUCCACCGCUGGCCCCUUUGAGAGUGGACGCUGCAAAGCAGCACCGCUCUUCAUGUUGAACCGAAAUUCGUAGCUGUGUCCAAGGAUUUUGUGAGGAAAAGAGAGACUUGAAAAAGAAAAGAACUUACAGCUCGAGAACAUGAUCGACAUAGUCUUUCAUGAGCUCCAUGUCGAACUUUGGCAUGCGGCAAGCAACGAGAACUACCUCGUCCCCGUCUUCCCACGCAUUUGCUGCUUAGAAUCAACAGGUCCAACGUUCUUGGAGAAACUGUGAGAAUUCUAACCUGUGUGGAAAAUAUAACAAGAUGGAAGAUGAAACCAGCGCAUCUGGCUGUCGCUGAGAGCAUAACGAGGCAGCACUCCAAAGCGGGACUUCUUCGUGCUGUCAAACGAGAUUAUCAUUUUUCCCUCACCCAUGUUCUUUAAACCAGAAUAAAUAUAUAAAUAAAUACGAAAGAUGAGAGACUGUUUGUGUGUGUGAUUGUCCCACCUUUGGUUUAAAAGGCACUGGAAGAUCCAUGAAAACUGCGUAGUUCUCCGUGAUUGCAAAGUCGUGCAUCAUCACGGGGUCGGGGAUGUUGAUGCUUACCGGAUCAUGCAAAGUUCCAUCUUUUGAAAUGACGCGAUAGAUUACGUAUGGUGUUUGCUGUUGGUAACAGAAGAAAAACAUCUCGCCUGAAGAAAAGUAAAAAAAGAAGAAGAAAAACUUGACUUUAGCUCGUAAGUUUGAAUGAAAGAACUAACCUGUCACAGGGUCAACUUUGGGAUGAGCAGUAACAGCGUGAGACAAUCUUUUGUCAUAGUCAAGCACGCCAAUUGUCUCAAGGUUCCCAUCGUCGAGCAUUCGAAUAGCAUCUGACAAAAACAAAAAUAAUGUUUCCUACAAAGAUAAAAACAAAGAGGAAACGAGCUUACAUGGUUUGUCAGCCUCUAAUAGUGCUAAAAGUUUCUUGUUGUGAUACACCAUGGCUGUGUUGGCUGCAAAGAGACGGAGAACACGAUUAAAUGAAAAAUAAAAAAAGAAGUCUUCGUUUUACCAGUUCCCAUGCCAUACUCUGCGUCCACAACACCGAGAGCAACUCGCAGCCGAAAAACAUUCGCUAAGAAAAUCCCAAGUAUUCCUUUCAAGUCUCCCAGCUUCAAAGGCAUUUCAGCUUCAAGAAAACCAAGAACCAAGGAAGAAAAACCAUACACACCUUCAGGAAAGUUGGAGUUCCAUAGAAUUCCUCUUGCUUUAACUUGGAGGUCUUCACGUAGCGAGAGACAUAGUUUGCUUUCCCGUCCUUGAUUCGCAGACCAUGCAGCAUUCUGGUUGAAACAAAGAACAAAGAAACUUGUAAGCCAACGCAUGAUAGAACUAAGAGGAAAACUUAAAUACCCAUCUCCGUCGAACCUACAAGUAAGAUGGGGAUAAAAUGGAGAAGAAAAAACGAAAAAAACUACCACUUUCAUACCAGUGGUAGCCUGCAGUAGGCUCGAAUCUCGGAUUUGGUCCAGUGCGCACGAAUUCUCCAUUCAAGCAUUCCUGUAAAGAAAAGAACGAAAAAAUCAAGACAAUGCGAAGACAAAUCUAUUAAAAAAGCUUACCGGGAGAGUGCCAGUUACUGGCAAGUCCACAAAUGGCCCAGACUCUCCAACUGGCGCGAAGUUAUCUUGAAGAAACAGGUUGGAUUUGCUGGAAGCGCUGCUAAACAACUGGACGAGCAAAGCCUCGAUCCCAUCGCAAAGCUUGGCAGCAAUCCUGGCUCCUAUGCCCGGCGUUCUUGGCUGGACGAUCCGGACGCCCAGGGGCAAGCUGCCCAGGAACUUAUCUUGGCUCUCCUUGCGCAGUCUCUCGGUUCCCAUCUCUCCCAAAUGUUCUCUUUUUAGAGUUAGCGUGUGGCCGUUCAUUUGGAAGCUUGUAGAUUCGGAUUGUAAACCAACUACAAAGAAGCACAAAAAGCUUCUUAUCAAAGUUGAUCUCAACCAGUCAUCCUGAAGAACAAUUUGCCACCGUUGGAUGAGUAGUGCAUGCCAAAAUAAAUUUUAGAAACGUAUAAACAACAAGAGAGGAGUGGGGACUACAACAUUUGGAUUUUUCUAUUGGUGAUGAGGUAUAGCGCCACUUAAUCGAAAAUAUCUUAAGCUUCGACAUCACUCCUUCCGAGACUUUUCGGAAAUUCAAUGACUCGGAUUCUAUUCACCUUGGGACUGGACGCCACCGCAGCAGCACUCCCCGCAUUGAAGCCGGAGAUCGCGAUCGCGACGACUGGGCCUCCAAUCCCUUGAUUUCCUUGGAGGACGGCGCGAUAAUUUUGACGUGGCGGAGAAAGAAAGCCAAAUAUCACAUUUUAGGGGCGUGGUUGAAGAAGCUGUGUCAAGAGAAGCGGUUGUAAGUUCUUCGAUCCAAUCAAGGAGCAAUACAUUUCUCAGUGGAAUUUCCUCUUUGUGUUUGUGGAAGCUUAACGAGGUUCUUGUAGGGCCAACUGUUUAGUUUGCGUCUUUGCUUCCAGGGUAUAGGCCUCGAAGAGUACACUGGAUUGGCAUCUAUUUCUCUUUUAUUCUGAGAGGAUUUCUUUGCAGCAAUACUGAAGAUCAAAGGUCUGGAUUGCCUCGUGAAUCUUCGCUUUAGCUCGAUUCAUAAGAUCGUCGGUUCUCCUUGGACAACGCCAACAGGAAUCCACAGCCAAGCCAAGCACAAGCUGGGUACCUAAUGUCACUGGAAGCGGGUUGAUACAUGGUUAAAUGUAUGGGUUUAUCGUGACGAUCCGUCUGGAUCGCUCACGUGGCUGUGUGCUGACGUGGUCUUGUUAGAGCUUGGAGGAAGAUGGACAACACCGUUUCAUAAUAAUACAUGGUAGCGAACGAUCUAAUGGCAAGAGGACAGUGGCAGAGGAAGAAUCAAAGGGACCAGGAACCCUUGGCUCGGGAGCGCGCGAGGGCUUUGGCAGUGCUGGUGGCCCAGCCUGCCGGAAGGUGUGCCUGUUGCGGCCGAGUUUUUCACGAUUCCUUCUCCACGUCGUCCUUUCUAAAUUCUCUGUUUAAUCUAUUCUUAGAUUAAUAGAGAGAAUGUCUUCUGCUAACGCAGCAGGAAAUUCUUGGGAUUCUGGAGGCUGGGAGAAACUUCUCCAAAAGUUCACGGGACAGAAUUUCGCCACUUGGAAAACAAAAAUACAGCUUAUCCUUUUUUGGCCAAGGAUUGCUGGCCUAAUGCAACCCAACGGCUCGACUGGGACGGGUUAGGUCUUGGGGAUGAAUUCGUUCAUCUCCUUGAUCUUACCAAAACAGCCCACCAGAACUGGACAUCCCUUACACAAAUCUUCGCUGCAAAAGCUGCCAAUGCUAAGGUGAUGCUACGAUGAGAAUGCAACCUGAUGACACCAUGGCCACUUACAUUGGAAAGUUUAAAGCGAUAAUCACCGAGAUGAAGGACUUGGAAGCAGCAAUCACCAUUGAUCAAGCUAAGGCAUUCCUUCUCAGCUCUGUCUCCCAACCUUUUGCAUCGAUGCUCUCGGCUGUGCCUGGAAAGGACUUGGACUCGUAUAAUUUUGACGUGGCGGAGAAAGAAUAUUCCCCAAAUAUCACAUUGUAGGGUUCCUGGGCUAAAAGGGGGGAAAAGCAAGAAAUGGGCUUUGAUAUGAGCCCGGCGGGCCUGAAGAAGCUGUGUCGGGAGAAGCGGCUGUAAGAUCUUCGAUCGCAAGGAUUCUUCUCAUGGAUUUCCUCUUUGUGUCUAGGUAUGCGAGUCUUCCAGAGCUUAACGAGGUUCUUCAUCUCCAUCACAGGGUAAUGUAGGGCAUUUUCCACUGCUUAUAGAGCUUUCGCGUCUUUGUUCCAGGGCAUAGUCGAGAUUAAAGGCCUCGAAGAGUACACUGGAUUAAAAACUCUCCACCUCGAGUCGAACGGUAUCUAGUUUUCUUCUUCUCUUUUAUUCUGAGAGGAUUUCUUUGCAGCAAUACUGAAGAUCAAAGGUCUAGAUUGCCUCAUGAAUCUUCGCUGCCUCUAUUUAAACCAGGUAGAGCGUUAUAGUUUUCGCAGUUCUAGUAAGAAACCACCUCACGAUAGAACGCUAGAGAAUGUUUUUCUUUUGUAGAACUUGCUCGAAGAUGUGGAAGGACUUGAUAAACUCCCCCGCUUGGAAGCACUCGAUCUGGCAGAUAAUCAGGCACACAAGGAUUCUUUUUCUUCGUUUGCUUUGUGAGUUUAAUCACUGCUUUGCAGAUCAAGUGCUUGAAAGGACUCUCUUGCUGCCAGUGCUUGCGUCAACUUAAUCUUUCUGGAACAUGCUUUGCCAGGAGGAGAACGUCGCACAUCUCACAGUAAAGACCACAAAACCACUGGACAACAUAAUCUCGCUCGUCCUUUCUUUCGCUAGAAAUGCAAGAGCUUGCAGUCACUCAACAUCUCCAGGAAGAAACUUGACAACGAAGAGUCUCUCCAGGUGAAAGAAAAUACAAGCUUGUCUUUUCUAAUCACUCGGUUUCAGAUCAUUCAAUCGCUUUCUCUCACCCUCUUGAAAAUGUCUGGAAAUCCGAUUGUAUCAACGAUACAACAUUACCGGAAGUUUUGUCUCGUCCAAAUGCCCACGGUAUACUUUUCCUUCACCAGAGAGCGAGAUUUCGAUUUUAAGUUCGCAGCUUACGUACCUGGAUGAAAGUCCUGUCUCUGAGAACGAGCGUCGCCUGGCAAGAGCAUGGACAGACGGUGGAAACGAGGUAAGAUCCAUGGUGCUGAUCAAAAUCUACGAACGAAAAACCAUUUUGUGCUGAUCAGGAGGAGACAUCAAUGCGGGAAACUAUACGCAAGGAAGAAGCCCAUCAGAGAGAGAUCCAUCGUCAAGGUACUGCCACCGUUUUGGAAGGAUGGAUGGUUCUUUAGCCAUCUCUAGAGCAGCAUUUGAAGCCAUGAUCGAGGAAGCGACGGCCGAGCUGGCCGAGAACGAGCGAAAGCAAAGAGAAGCGGCAGAAAGAGCUCAAGAGGAGCGAGCCGAGGCAGCCGCAAGAGAAGAGCAGUGCCGAGCGGAGAUUGCUGCGAGAGAGGAAGCGAAGAGGAGACAAGAGAUCCAAGAGCAGCGGAGAGCCGAGCUAGCAGCGAGGGAGGAGAAGAGAGCCGCCGAGCUUGUAGCGAUGGAGGAGGAGCUAGCCGCGGAGCUUGCUGCGCGCGAGAAGAACUUGUCCGAGGAAGGGAUUAUAGAGCGGCUCGAGUGCGCUGACAAGGAGAGGAAGUUUAAGAAGGAGCUCCAGGAGCGCGUUUUGGAGCGAGUGGCCCAAGACAAGAACGUCGCAAGGCCUAUGCUUUGGGGAACCAAAGGUUACAAGAGUCUCUGGGAAAUAGCAACUAAUAUAGACGACUCUACUUAACAAUCUUUUCUAGCCAAUGGUGGAAGAAAACUUUCGUCCUCUGUGAAGUGUGUGUCAUCUUUUAAAUUUUAGAAGCGUUGUGAAGUUUUACUUUGCAAAAGGGGCCCGGAUUUCUUCCUCUUAGUUCUUGGUAAUCUUGUUAGUGUUUUUCCCAAGAGUGUCUUUCAUAUUCCAGGGACAGGUUUGGAACCCAAACCAAACCAAUGUCUUUUCGAUCUCUCUACAAAACAUAAGUUGUUUACAAUUUAUAUAAUAAUAAUUCAGAAUCCACCAUCGCGUUUGCCAAGUAUACGUUUUUUUUUUCGUGAUCAAUUGUAAGUUUCUCAACAAUAUUCAUGCUUGGUUCCCUAGCUGAUCCUAAACUCGGGAAAUAAAAAAGGAAUUAGGACGAGAAAACAAAUGAGGAAACUCAAUCUCACCUCAUUCACAAAAAUCGAGUGGAAACCAUAAGGAAUCCUUACAGGGAUCGAGACCACAGCAACUGGAUCGGCUGCCAUUGUCUUGGCAUCAAUCACGACUGCCUCCGAUUUUCUGGAAGACAAAAAAAAACAUGAAAAAGCUUGAGCACACGAAGAUGAACUCUCAUCUUACCCCGCCCCUUCGUCGUAAACAAAAGAGAUGAGGUAGCCAUCGUCUUCAUCCGCGUCCUUGUCCGAGCUCUUUGGAACAAACACCGCCUCGGAGCCAAACCGGCGACCUCCAUACAUGAACUCCCCGACCACAUUGCUCCCAACGGGAUUACCACCAUCCUUGGAGAGCUCGGGAUCCUUGUGGAGAUCAAACUUCGCCACUCCUUUGAUCCUCACUUGAUCGUGGAAAACGGCAGCAUACACGUAACGUUGCUUCCUGUGAAAGUACGAGAUUUAUGGAUGCAAACUCUCAAGAGAGCCUAUAACCUUCCUAUGUAGUUUUCGUUGAUGCGAGGAAACUCCACCGCUGGCCCCUUUGAGAGUGGACGCUGCAAAGCAGCACCGCUCUUCAUGUUGAACCGAAAUUCGUAGCUGUGUCCAAGGAUUUUGUGAGGAAAAGAGAGACUUGAAAAAGAAAAGAACUUACAGCUCGAGAACAUGAUCGUCAGUGUCUUUCAUGAGCUCCAUGUCGAACUUUGGCAUGCGGCAAGCAACGAGAACUACCUCGUCCCCGUCUUCCCACGCAUUUGCUGCUUAGAAUCAACAGGUCCAACGUUAGCACAUUUGGAGAAAACUG
rnacentral:lncRNA from 1 species